GAUGAACGCUGGCGGCGUGCCUAAUACAUGCAAGUCGAGCGAAUGGAUUAAGAGCUUGCUCUUAUGAAGUUAGCGGCGGACGGGUGAGUAACACGUGGGUAACCUGCCCAUAAGACUGGGAUAACUCCGGGAAACCGGGGCUAAUACCGGAUAACAUUUUGAACCGCAUGAUUCGAAAUUGAAAGGCGGCUUCGGCUGUCACUUAUGGAUGGACCCGCGUCGCAUUAGCUAGUUGGUGAGGUAACGGCUAACCAAGGCAACGAUGCGUAGCCGACCUGAGGGGGUGAUCGGCCACACUGGGACUGAGACACGGCCCAGACUCCUACGGGAGGCAGCAGUAGGGAAUCUUCCGCAAUGGACGAAAGUCUGACGGAGCAACGCCGCGUGAGUGAUGAAGGCUUUCGGGUCGUAAAACUCUGUUGUUAGGGAAGAACAAGUGCUAGUUGAAUAAGCUGGCACCUUGACGGUACCUAACCAGAAAGCCACGGCUAACUACGUGCCAGCAGCCGCGGUAA
rnacentral:rRNA from 1 species